CAAUAGCGUAUAUUAACGUUGUUGCAGUUAAAAAGUUCGUAGUUGGAUUUCUGGAGGGAGCGUCGGCCCGUAUUUACGAGUGCGUGACGUCUCUGUCCAUCCUUGCGGGAAGGCACGGCAUUGAUUUGUUGUGUCGGAUCGCAUCAUUUACUGUGAAAAAAUUAGAGUGUUCAAAGCAGGCUUUCGCUUGAAUACAUUAGCAUGGAAUAAUAAGAUAGGACUUUGGUGCUAUUUUGUUGGUUGAGCCUAAAGUAAUGAUUAAUAGGGAUAGUUGGGGGCACCUGUAUUGCGUUGUCAGAGGUGAAAUUCUUGGAUUUACGCAAGACAAACAGCUGCGAAAGCGUCUGCCAAGGAUGUUUUCAUUAA
rnacentral:rRNA from 1 species